GGUGAUGCUCUCCUGACUCACUGGGAUCCCUCAAACAGGUCCAUUCACCUCCGUGUUUCAGUAUCACAAUGUACAGAAUGAACCCAUAAAUAUUUUGCUGUAAAGUUUCAUUUCGGCUGUAGUUAGGCAACACCUUUAGAAACCUUUGAUCUUGUAUGGAGUAAAUAUGUUGUCAUAUAAAAGACAGGAGAUAGUAAAAAUACAAAAGUACAUCAGACAUAGAUAUUGGCAACUAAAGGCACAAACAAACCUGGCUGUGGUCAGGGGAGAGCAAAGACCCAAUUCUCUAGGAGCGCAUCACUGCUGAAGCCUCCAGCUUUAUAAAGUUCCCCUGUUUCAGGCCAUUCCCUUCAGUUUGACUUCUCCCAUUGCUCUCCUGUUCUUGACUAAGAGCUACCUUUCCUAUUGGUGAUUCCACCACCCAAAAUGGCAUGUUCUUCUGGGAGGGAAUCCUUCUUCAACUUGAACUCAACCUGGUAUGACCCAGCAGGCUCCUGGCUGGACACCCGGCGCACACCUCUCCUCUAUGCCUACGGCUGUGGCUGUGCCCAUGGCAGAGACUUGUGCCUGGGUGGCCACGACUACCGGCACUAUGGCUACUACCACUCAGUCUGCUCCGAGCCAGCACCGUGCCAUGGAAAUGGGUGUUCUCACUGUGCUGGGGAGCUGGGGAGCAGCUGUGAGGAGUGUGGGGCAUGCCCAAGCUAUGGGGUAUGCUCAGAGGAGUGUUGUGGGGGAUGCUGCAAUUAAUAGGAGACCAGGAUGUGAGGGACCUUGGCAUGGUCUUGGACUCUCACAAGUCUCUGUAUUCAGCCACAAUGCUGUGUAGGAACAAUCACUUGUUUAGGGCUGAGAAAGGUUCUUGGCACAUAAAAUCCUUUUGCUUCUCUAUUUUCUCAUGUUUACCUUGGGUUUAUCAGGCUUUUUGUGGUCUCCUUCUCUCCUGCUCUUCCCCUGCUGACUUGAUAGAGAAAAUCUCCUCUGUCUUCAUGGCAGGGGGAAUGGAAGGGACAAUUUCCUGCUGAAUUUAUGCAAUCUGCUUUCCUGCUUCACUUCCCAGAUGCGUGUACUGAGAUAACAAAACUCCAGCUCACAGGUUUGCUGUCUCUCUUCCUCAGGCUCUUUCUAAGUCUCUCCUUAAAUGAAUAACACAACCUGAAGUGCUUCAGCAUGGCCAAGAGCGUAGGUGAAAACUUGGACUGCUUAGAAAGAAUUAAGAUAGGAGAUUUUAUCUCUCCUUCUCCUAAACGUUCUCAGUCAGGCUCAAACCCAGCCCGGAGCCUUGUGUCUGGCUUGGUUUCAGCCUCCCAUUUGGCACAGGAUGGGUUUGGCACUGGCAGAGGGGCACCUGGGUGUCUGGAGGGACAGGGACCAUCGAUGGCAUCACACAACGACUUCAUGCACAGUCACUCUGACCCUGAUGUUCAUUCCUUGCACCUGCAAUCACGUACCUUGCAUAUGGGAAUGCUGCUCCUCGUUAUUUUAAUUAACAGUAGUAAUAAAACAAGUGUUAAUAAUAA